rnacentral:rRNA from 1 species
CCUACGGGGGGCUGCAGUGGGGAAUAUUGCACAAUGGGCGCAGGCCUGAUGCAGCCAUGCCGCGUGUGUGAAGAAGGCCUUCGGGUUGUAAAGCACUUUCAGCGGGGAGGAAGGCGUUAAGGUUAAUAACCUUGUCGAUUGACGUUACCCGCAGAAGAAGCACCGGCUAACUCCGUGCCAGCAGCCGCGGUAAUACGGAGGGUGCAAGCGUUAAUCGGAAUUACUGGGCGUAAAGCGCACGCAGGCGGUCUGUCAAGUCGGAUGUGAAAUCCCCGGGCUCAACCUGGGAACUGCAUUCGAAACUGGCAGGCUAGAGUCUUGUAGAGGGGGGUAGAAUUCCAGGUGUAGCGGUGAAAUGCGUAGAGAUCUGGAGGAAUACCGGUGGCGAAGGCGGCCCCCUGGACAAAGACUGACGCUCAGGUGCGAAAGCGUGGGGAGCAAACAGGAUUAGAUACCCGUGUAGUC